rnacentral:antisense_RNA from 1 species
UGGCCUGUAUGCAGUUGUGGGUGAAGUUUAUUAAGGCAAUACUGAAUACCAGAGCAUUUCAACAAGGCUUACCACACAGGCCCCAGUACCUUUCUACUCUACAAUGAGGCUCAGAAGCUCAGUGUACCACCCCAUCCCCAGGAGGCCCACUUAGACCAGAAAUCCCAAGUCCAUUAGCUACAGGCUGAUAUCCAGGGACAUCGGUGUAAACAAAGAAGUGGGAUAUGAACUAUAUCCCUGAUUUUUUUUUUCUUUUUUUUUUUUUUUGAGACUAAGUCUCACUCUUGUCCCCCAGGCUGGAGUGCAAUGGCGCGAUCUUGGCUCACUGCAACCUUCACCUCUAGGGUUCAAGAGGUUCUCUUGCCUCAGCCUCCUAACUGGGAUUACAGGCACCUGCCACCAUGCCCGGCUCAUUUUUUUUUGUAUUUUCAGUAGAGACGGGGUUUCAGCAUGUUGGCCUGGCUGGUCUCGAACACCUGACCUCAGGUGUUCCGCCCGCCUCAGCCUCCCAAAGUGCUGGGAUUACAGGUGUGAGCCACCGCGCCCGGCCUAUAUUCCUGAUAUUUAACGAGGAAAA